ensembl:lncRNA
CUUCUGUGCAACAAGUAAAUUUUCACUCUGAAGGCUGUGAUCCCCACAGAAGUAGCCUGCAAACUCAGGUAGCUUUUCUCACUCUUAAAAGGUCUUGAACACUCUUGCAGAGAAACACCAACAAAAAAGUGUAGUCAUCUGGGAAGAGAAGAGCCUGAGAGAAAAAUAACACUUGGACUGGCACCAGGAGGGUCUGUGCAACAUUCACUUGCCUGCAGUGGCUCCUGUGAGCCCCAGUAAGACCACCCACAGCAGUGAAUCAAUGACAGGACACUUGGAGAGCUUUUCCUGGGAUGUCUUCUUUAUUGAAGCUUUUCAAGAUCCUGAGUGGAAGACCAAGAGAAGCUGCACCUGGACUCCUGACCAUGGAAUCUGAGCUCUUAAGAGGAGAAGCAGACUGAGCUAGAUGAUGCCAGUGGAGUUCAGAGCAUCCACAAGUCUGGCACCACUCUUUGACACCAAGUCCCUGAAAACCACCAUGUGGUCACCUCUGAGGCAGCCACCUGCAAUGUCCUCUUCCCUGGUGUUACAAGGAUGUCGGGCAGAACGCAUGAGGAGUGAUCUAGGAAAAGCUCUGUCUGGGCCAAGCCAAGGCGAUUGUAGAUGAGUCUUGUCCACAAUCUACGGGCAACUCACACCUUCUAGAGAUGGGGAGCCAGGAAAGCUGAGAAAAACAGAGCUGAUGCUGCAGUAGAAGGUAAGUAGAUCUUAGCAUCUGGGGCUGUGUCCACAGACAAGGUAACUGACGUAGCAUGUGCAGGGAGGGCCUUUAGUAAGGUGAGCAUGGGGCAGCCAUUUGUACUGAGAGCUUUGGAAAAUGUCUGUAAUCAAGCACAUGGGUAAUUUGACGUUUCAGGUCAUAAUAAUGACAAAUCCUCCUCCUCCUCUUCUUCCUCCUCCUCCUCUUCCUCCUCUUCUUCCUCCUCCUCUUCCUCCUCUUCCUCCUCCUCCUCUUCCUCCUCUUCCUCCUCCUGCUCUUUAUUUUCCUAUUACUACUACUCCUCUUCUUUCUCCUCUUCAUUCCCUUCCUCCUCAUCCUCCCCUCUUCUUCUCCCUCCUCCCCCUCCUCUCCCUCCUCCUCUUCCUUCUCCCCCCCUCAUCAUCAUCCUUUUUGCAGUGUUUGGCAUUGAACCUAGUGCCUCCGAGGAGCUGGCAAGUGCUCUACCACUGGUCUGAACCCCCCAGCCCUAACUCCCUUUACCACACUUAAAAACAGCAACAAGAUGCUAAGAACUUCCUGUCCCUCAGCUGUCACUCGGGGAAGAGUUUGUACCAGACAGGAAUGCCAUGCAAAGAAUUACCAGCCCCACCCACACCUGAAGUCAGUUGUGCUGACAUGUAAAUGUUUUCCACAGGUAGACGCUGAAGUUUCUGUUCAGCAUCAGACCCUUCCACUUGGGAAAGCCCAGGUUCAUCGGUGACAUUUCCGGUCUGGUGACAAAGUCACCUACCAGCUUGCUGCAUGCUUUAAAGCAAUGUUUUCCAAAGCUGAACGUUAUUUUGGAAACUGUGCGUGUUUAUUGGUAGCGAAACGCAGGUGUUGGAGCAAAUAAUCCACAUAUGUCAUUCUGAAAUCAGAGAGGAAAUCACUGUCUACGAAACCCAUACGGCGUACGCACAGCCUGGUUUUGGUGUUGCUGAGUUAUGCCAGAUUCUUUGGGAUCUGGUAUGUUUGGAAUGUUUGAAAUAUCUGAAAAUUUCUAGAGGUUUUUGUGCCAAUAUUUUCCUUAUAGACACAUUUGUCGUGUAUACUGGGUUUCUUGUAUGCAGACACGAGUUUCUGUAGUAGACAUGCUCUGAGUUUACCUUGAUAUUCACAUGCAUUGCAACCACAUGGAACUCAUGCCAUUGCAACUGCACAAAACUUAAACUCCCGGACUCAGGACAUCAGUGUAGGGAGGGAUGGAAACAUAGGCGAGGAGCUGUGGUGCAGAGAUGAGCAGCUGACCAGUGAUCAGGAGACCCGGAGUUAAAGAGGAGGAAGUGGCUUUUUAAGACGCUGCUCUCUCGAGCUGUGGGUUGCACUUGAAUCGAUCAGUGAUUCCAAGUAACUCGUUGGUUGAGGAAAGCAGAUCUGCACAGGCACCUGCUGAAGAUUGACGUGUGGCUUUGAGGCCUAUUAACCAGAUGCAACUUGAUAAAGUUUUAUCUGUAUUAGGGCCUCAGCCCCUGGAAGCUCAUCAGUGCUGGGCAGGCACUUCUGUCUAGUAAAUACUUUUUGAGAGGUUAUGUCUAGGUUUGAGUAACUUCAGCAUAGUCCCCUGUUGGAGGUCCAGUGUCCAUGUGCAGUGUGUAUCUACCUGGAAUGUUUGGUUUCCCCAGGACCAUAUAGAAGUUACAUGUGACUUGUUGGCCUCCACAUUCCCCGUGAGAUCAUAGCCAUAGGUUCAAGUCCAGACUGGGUCACAGAUUUAGUUGUAAUCUAUGAAUAUUUGUGAAGAACCUGACAAAUCUGAUGUUAACACUUGAGUGAAUUAAAAACCUUUGAAUGUCAAAAAACAGAAAAGAGUGGCCAGAGUGACUGACAGUCCAAACAGAAGCUUGGGGUGUGCUUCAGUUGGUAGACUGCUUGCCUAACAUGCUUCUAACAUGCUUUAGAGAGGGCAGUUCCAGCACUUGGGAAGUGGAGGCGGGAGGAUCCGAGAUGUGUGGUCAUCCUCUACCUCACAGUGAAUUGAGCACUAUCCUGAACUCUAUGAGAUUCCGUCUCAAAAUCAAUAAAGACUUAACCAAGUCAAUCGGGUGUCUGAUCACAACCUCAGUGGACUGGAAAGGGGUCUUACGUGACAUUUCCAGCAGAAGGAAGGAGGCUGUCAGGAACAAGGGAGAAUUCAAUCCCAUGACUGUAGUGACCAAGUCUUCUGCCGUGGCCAUCCUCUGGCACCACAGCAGUGAUUAGACUUAGCUUUUUCCUUGUUGUUGAAAGUGCUGUGAUCAUUUUACGCUUAUGAAAAGGUGAUGGUGACAGUGUCAGCAGAGACUUUGCUUUCUUCACUGUUUUUAUUAGACGGGCUCCCCCUAUGAUGCUCAGGCUGGCCCCAUACAAUCCCCCUGCCUCACCCUCCUGAGUACAGGCAUUACCUCACGCAGCUUACACCAAAGUGUGCUGGAGAGGAAUAAAAGUCGUCCAAAGCAUUGGAGCAGGUGCCCUAGCCAGUUAUUCCCAGCCCUCCCUGUGCUCUGAAAAUGAACCAUUGUAUAUCAUGGUUAUUAGCCCAGAAGAGUAAACAUUCUCUUUUUGGACUAUUCUGAAUAUAACUUCUUAUGAAUCUAUAUGUCCAAAAUGACUCUAGUCAAAAUUCCAGUGGCAUCCAUCCCCAACCCUGACACAAACACAUACCAAAGCUCUUUUAAAAUAAAUUAGAAAAAUAAUAGCUUUCUCCCUCCCCCCUCUCUCUCUGUCUCUGUCUCUGUCUCUGUCUCUGUCUCUCUCUCUCUCUCUCUCUCAUACACACAAACACAUGCACACACACACACACACACACACAGACACACAAAACUAAAAGAAGAAAGAGAAAAGUAAUAAAAAUAAUGAUAAGGAAGAGAAAACAAAAGCACCACAGAGACAAAAGUGUGGUUAAUGGUAUCACAACAGAUUACCUACGUGUCCUGUUGCUUCUGAACACUGCAUUGGUAAGCCACCAAUGAGCAGUGGGGGUUGGGAAGAUAAAGCCUAGAAGAUAAAACACAUUAAAUAUAGUCCUGAUAAAAGACGCUUCAGUCUAUGAGAAACUGAAGCCAGUGCUGUCUGAAGAGAAAGUGAGCAAUUUGAGAGAAAAAUCAGUUCAAAGGCUCAUUUUACUUUUCAUUCUAAAUAUAUAUUUUAGAUAGCUAAGAGAAAUAUACACACAAGAAUCAAAGAGAAAAUAGUGAAAAAAGAAAGUGAAAUCAGUUUUUACUGAAAAUCUAGAGAUAAAAAGGUUUACUGAGCUUGAAAAUAUUAAAGCCUCUAAGGAAGACAAUGAAAGGGUAAACCAGAAACUGUGCUGAAACUUCAUUACAUGGAUUUUAAAUCAGCAAAUUAUGAAAAUGCCUACAGAAAUCCUAAAAAAUGUACACUUUUAUUGUAUUAUGAGCUUGUAUAAGUUGCCAAGAACUCUAUAAGGAAAUCACAAUAUUAAUACUCAGGAAGACAAAAUAUAUUUUCACUUUACAAUUAAUCAGUGAAAAUCCUGUAUCCAUAUAAAUGCCACUGAGAUGUAAUUGGUUUGUAAAUAGUGCUUUUCUAAUAGACAAUAUUAAUAGUAAAUGUAAAGGUGGCAUAGGACGCCAGCUGUUAGGAUCUUUGUCUUCUCGAUUUCUUAAUUAUUUUAAAGAUCCAUCCUUAUUGGCAAGUAUUAUUUUUACAAUUGAAUUUUUUAAAUGGUAGCACACAUCUACACCAACUAAGAAAACUGUCUUCCCUGAUGGGUGAAUGAGUGCAGCACAGAACACACUGAGUCAUGGGCGUCAGCUCCUCUCCUGACCAUCACUAAAGAUUCAGCUUAGAGACGACAGUGCCUCUCAGUGAAAACAAGGCUCUCCGCCUUCCGGCCUCUGCUGCAGCACUGCAGUAGAGAAAUACCACCUGCCUGUCGGCUUAAAAUGAUGCACACACACACACACACACACACACACACACACACACACACACACACAUAAAGGUUUUGGGGACUGGAAGACAACAGAGCCGUCUAUAAAGUAUUUGCUGUGUAAGCAUGAGAACCUUAGUUCAGAUAAAAACUCAAGCACAACCGUGUAUGUUCAUGACCCCGGUGCUGGGGAACUGUAUGGAGAGAGGAGUAUCCUUGGAGUGUGUAAGCCACCCAGCCUACCCGAAUAAGUGAGACCCAGCCGCAAAAAUGAGAUGAAGAACACACACACAUGCACACACACGCACGCACACAUGAACACACAGAGAAAGGGGGAGGGGGAGGGAGAGAGAGGACAUAUGACUCACAUUAAAGAACAUGUAGAAUGUUGAGUAUGCAUAUCCGGCAGAGAGAGAGACUGCAGUGGGGUUUCCCAGGAAGAACGACCGAAGCAGCAGCUGCUCAGUUCCUAGGAAUUUUCCUCGAGCAUUGGAUUGUGUACAUGAAAGGAUCCCAGAACGUUGUUUUAGCAUCUAGCUUCCUUUUGCUUCAAAAAGGACAGGAAUGGGAUAGCUGGGUCUUCAGGUAGAACUAUUCCAAGUUUUCUGAGAAACCGCCAAUUGAUUUCCAAAGUGGUUGUACAAGUUUGCACUCCCACCAGCAAUGGAGGAAUGUUUCCCCCUUGCUCCAUGUCCCCGCCAGCACGUGCUAUUUCUUGAGUUUUAUCUUAGCCAUUCUGGUGGGUGUAAGGUGGACUCCCAGUGCUGCUUUGAUUUGUAUUUCCCUCAUGACUAAGGACUUUUUAAAUGCUUCUUGGCCUUUUCAAUCCUUCUGCUGAGAACUCUCUGUUUAGUUCUGUAGCCCAUUUUUCAGUUGUGUUACUUGGGGUUGGUGUCCUACUUCUUGAGUUCUUUUUAAUUUUGAGUAUUAGCCCUCUGUCAGAUGUAGGGUUGGUGGAGAUCCUUUCCCAGUCUGUAGGCUGCCAUUUUAUCCUGUUGACAGUGUCCUUUGACUGACAGAAGCUUUUCAGUUUCACGAGGUGCCAUUUAUCAAUUGUUGAUUUUAGAGCCUGAGCCAUUGGUGUUCUGUCCAGGAAGUUAUCUCAUGUACCAGUGAGUUCAAGACUAUUCUUCACUUCUGUUCUAUUAGAUUGUAUCCAGUUUUAAGUUGAGGUCUUUGAUCCACUUGCACUUGAGUUUUAUGCAGGGUGAUAGAUAAGGAUCUCUUUGCAUUCUUCUACAUGAAGACCUCCAGUUAGACCAUGACCAUUUGUGGAAGAUGCUUUCUUUUUUUUUCAUUGUAUGGUUUGGCUCUCUUUGUCAAAAAUCAAGUGCCCAUAGGUGUGUGGGUUCAUUGCCGGGUCUUCAAUUCAGUUCUACUGCUCAACCUGUCUGUUUCUGUACCAAUACCAUGUAGUCUUCAUUACUAUUGCGUAUAGUAGAGCUUGAGGUCAGGUUGGUAAUACUUACAGAAGUUCUUUUAUUGGUCAGGGUUGUUGUAGCUAUCCUGGGUUUUUUUUUUUUUUGUUUUUGUUUUUCCCUGUGAAGUUGAGAAUUGCUCAUUCAAGGUCGGUAAAGAAAGAAUUGUGUUGGACUUUUGGUGGGAAUUGCAUUGAAUCUGUAGAUUGCUUUUGGUAAGAUGAACAUUUUCAUUAUGUUAAUCCUACCAAUCCAUGAGCAUGGGAGACCUUUCCAUCUUCUGAGGUCUUCCUCAACUUCCUUCUUCAGCAACUUCGAGUUUUUGUCAUGCAGGUCUUUCACUUGCUUGGUUAGAGUUACGCUAAGAUAUUUUAUAUUAUAUUAUAUAUAUUAAUUUAUAUUAUUCGUGGCUAUUGUGAAGUGUGUUGUUUUUCUAAUUUCUUUCUUGGUCCUUUGUAUAAAGGACAGAAAACUGGAAAUAGUUCUACCUUAAGACACAGCUACCCCACUCCUGGGCAUAAACCUAAAAGAUACCACACUAUACCACAGGGACACUUGUUCAACUUUGAUUAUAGCAGCUUUAUUUGUUAUAACCAGAAACUGGAAACAAUGUAGAUGUCCCUCAACUGAGGAGUGGAUAUAGAAAACGUGGUCCAUCUAUCUACACAAUAGAAUGCUAUUCAGCUAUUAAAAACAAUGACAUCAUGAAUUUUGCAGGCAAAUGGUUAGAACUUAAAUAUCGUCCUGAGUGAGGUAAACCAGACACAAAAGGACAUGGUGUGUACUGACUUAUAGGUGGAUACUACCCAUGAGACGCAGGAUACUCAGCUGAACUUCACACUUCCAAAGCUAAGCAAGGGAGAAGGCCCAAGAGAGGAUGCUUGAAUCUCACUUAAGGGGACAUAAAAUAGUCAUAGGAGGCAGAUGGAGAGAGGGAACUGGGUGAAAGAGGUGAUAGGGAGGGGAAUUGGAGGGGGCUCUGGAUCAGGAAAGAUGACCAGAUGGCUAUGAGAAUGAAUGGAAAUCUGCAACUGGUCAAGGUGGGGUCAUCUCAAGGACAUGCCAGAGAUCUGGAAUAGGGAAGGCUCCCAAGAAUCAAUGGGGGUGGCCUUAGCUGAUACAACAGCAGGGACAUGAAACCUGAAGAGACCACCUCCUAUAGCCAGGCUGGAAGCUCACUGGAGCAAUAGAAACACCAAGCUACCCACAAAACCUUUUACCCAAAAUUCAUUCUGUUUACUAGAAACGUAGGGACAGGGGAUGAGGCAGAGACUGUGGAAUGGUCAAGCAAUAGCCAAUCCAACUAGAGACCCAUCCAAUGGACAAGUACCAAUCCCUGACACUAUUACUGAUACUCUGUUAUGCUUGCAGACAGAAGUCUAGUAUGGCUGCCCUCUGAGAGACUCCACUGACAUAGACAGAUGCAGAGACCCACAGCCAAUGGAUGGAGCUUGGGGGCCUUUAUGGCAGAGUUGAGGAAGGAUCGAGGGGCCUGAAGGGCAUAGGAACCCUUAGGAAGACCAAUAGAGUCAACUUACCUGGACCCUUGGCAGCUCUCAGAGACUGAACCGUUAACCAAAGAGCAUACAUAGGUUGGACCUAGGACCCCACAUAUAUGUAGCAGAUAUGCAGUUCGGUCUUCAUGUAGGUCCUGAACAACUGGAGCAGCGACUAUCCCUAAAGCUGAUGCCUAUCUGUGAAAUCCUUUCCCCUAAUUUGGCUGUCUUAUCUGACCUCAUUGAGGGAGAGGCCCCACAGAGACUUGAUGUGCUAGGGUGGGGGAUAUCGGGGAGGAGGAGAAGGACUCUACUCUCUCAGAGGAGAAGGGGAGGGAGAGGAAC